CCUUGGUGAUCAUAAUAACUUAACGAAUSGCAUGGCCUUGCGCCGGCGAUGGUUCAUUCAAAUUUCUGCCCUAUCAACUUUCGAUGGUAGGAUAGUGGCCUACCAUGGUGGCAACGGGUAACGGGGAAUUAGGGUUCGAUUCCGGAGAGGGAGCCUGAGAAACGGCUACCACAUCCAAGGAAGGCAGCAGGCGCGCAAAUUACCCAAUCCCGAUACGGGGAGGUAGUGACAAUAAAUACUGAUACGGGGCUCUUUUGGGUCUCGUAAUUGGAAUGAGAACAAUUUAAAUCCCUUAACGAGGAACAAUUGGAGGGCAAGUCUGGUGCCAGCAGCCGCGGUAAUUCCAGCUCCAAUAGCGUAUAUUAAAGUUGUUGCAGUUAAAAAGCUCGUAGUUGAACCUUGGGUCUGGCUGGCCGGUCCGCCUCACCGCGAGUACUGGUCCGGCUGGACCUUUCCUUCUGGGGAACCCCAUGGCCUUCACUGGCUGUGGGGGGAACCAGGACUUUUACUGUGAAAAAAUUAGAGUGGUCAAAGCAGGCCGUUGCUCGAAUACAUUAGCAUGGAAUAAUAGAAUAGGACGUGCGGUUCUAUUUUGUUGGUUUCUAGGACCGCCGUAAUGAUUAAUAGGGAUAGUCGGGGGCGUCARUAUUCACCUGUCAGAGGUGGRAUUCUUGGAUGUGCUGAAGACUAACUACUGCGAAAGCAUUCGCCMAACGAUGUUUUCAUUAAUCAAGGAACGAAAGUUAGGGGAUCGAARACGAUCACAUACCGUCGUAGUCUUAACCAUAAACUAUGCCSACUAUGGAUCGGACGGGAUUCUAUGAUGACCCGUUUCGGCACCUUACUAGAAAUC
rnacentral:rRNA from 1 species